GGAAAGACUGUUCAGUCAUGAAGUUUCAGUUCCUGCUCGCGUUGUUAUUUACUCUACUAAAGUUAUCCAGCUUGAAUCCAACUCCUACAAGUCGAAAACCUGAUUUGAGCGUGAUAAUUCACUUUCAUACCGGGGACUCCGCCGAGCUAGGUGAUACAAAGGAGGCCUAGAAUGGAUGCUGUUGGACCUGAAUCUUGAAGCUUUUAACAAUUGGAAAUAAUUGAAAAAUAAAUAUUUUUGUGUUCAAAGUUCUAGAACUAAAUUAUUUCAGAUAGGA